GGAUCCAGAGCAAGCGGAGGCCGGAGCUGGUGCUCGCCGAGCACUGUUCCUCCUCCCCCAGCCCGCUAAGCGGCCCUCGGGGCCCAGCGGGAGAGCUUGUACCCAAGCACAAGUCUCCCAAAACAUCCACCCCCAACAACAGCAGAAACCCCACUAAGCAGCGCCUGGCGUGCCACGGCACGGCACAACCACCGCCCCGCCUCCAACCCUCUUCCAUUGGCUCUUCAGCUUCAUCCUUUGUCGCUUAAUUUGCUCCCUGGCCUGUCAGUCAACCACCUCCAUGGCGCGAACGCUGCCCUGGUAGCCCUUCUAACGCGUCAUCUCUAUGCCCGAAGUUCUGUGAGUCCCACUGGCGUUCUUUCCCUGUUGCCUGCCUCGCUGUGCAAAGAGGCUGCGGGGCUUCCAGCUAGGCCGAAAGCAUAAGGUCAUUUCAGAAGAUACAGAGUUCAUACAGACUAGUUUGGUAUAUGUAUUUUAAGGAAUAAGCUGGAUAUGGUCUUUAAGAGUUUCUUCUCAACACUGAGCGCGUUAAGGGAGAGAAGACCUUUUUGAAGGAAGAGAAUAUAACCAGAAUUAUCAAGGACAAUGUGGUAAGUUUUAUGGUGGAUACUCACAAGGGACUGAUGAGGCCAAGGUAAGUAUUGUCCUUAGUAUGCAGAAGCCAAUUCUAUGACUCUUCAGGGAUCAGCUGUUUAAAGAUGGUUUUGUUAAUCUAAUAUAUAUUUACAUAUAUCCAGAGACAAGAAAGGAUUUCUGUUGCCAUUUGGUUUUUGACAACUGGUCUGCUAUUUAGUUCUCAUACAUUCUUUCAUUAGUGUCUUGGACUUUGCAGGAAAAGAAGACAAGACAGCAGGAAUGUGGUUUAACUACACUGUGACUUCAUAAAUAACACAUCUGGGAGCCAUCUGGCAAUGACUCGUCCAAUGCAGGUCAUACUUCCUUUGUAAUCCAUACCACGUGGUGGCAAACUGCCAUCAGCCCCCUGCCCUGCUAACUUGGCCUUAGCAUCACUCCUGGGUCCAUGGACCUCCUUCCCCCUAAAGAAGACUCAAAACAGAAAAAGGAGGCUUUCUCUCAAGUCUAAUGUAUCGACAACCUUGUUUCCAGUCCUCUGUUUCCUUCUCAAUUCUGAUUACAGUUGAACUCUUUAGUUAGUAAUUUAUAGUGAGGCAACAACUUUUCUCCUCUAAACAGAUUCUCACGUUGUCAAUGAUUGCUUCCAUUAGAGUAGCUAGCACCCCUUUCAAGUCAGAGAAUUUGAACAGAACAUACAGUUCAAUUGAAUAGAUACUCCAAAUGAUACUUAUCUGAUUUUACUUUUCAGAUAAUUUAUAAAUCAGUCAGAUUGCUUCUGUGAUCACCUAAACUUUCUGGUGUAGUGUCCUGAAAUCUUAGUCAUUUGGUGUAACAAGAUCUGGUUCUGCUUAUGACCUCUCUUUCUUAUCUUAGUUCUGCCCUUAUUUUAUCCUUCCAUUGGAUUUAUCAUGAUUUAUUUUGAUCCAUUCAAAUGGCCUCUCCUUUAUCCUGAAUGAAUCAGAGCUAUCUUCUGACCCUAUACUAUAACACUUGGGUUGGGCUAAUGCCUACCUGAAUGCUAAACGACCAACUUCCCGAAAAACUAGCUUCCUGAUGAAAGUCAAAUGCAGAUGAUUAGCCAGACAAUGUAUUUACAGUCUAACACAUCAUUCUGAAAAAUAGGCUGAAUAUUAUUAUUAUAGAAACCAUCCCCUCCCUACUCAUGUUUUGUUUCAAGUAUUAUCUCUCACAAGCAGAGCCUUUGGGGUUUUGAGUCCAAUGUCUUCUUUCACUAUCAUUUUCAUUUCACAUUAAGAAAAAUCAGUUUACCGUGAUAAUGUCUGUAAUGUAUAUUCUUUGACAUUUGAAGUUAAGUAUUCUUUCUGAAUUAACUGUCUUCCACGGGAAGCAACAGUGGCAAAGCAUCAUCUGAACUCUGUCACAACUGAAUAGUUUGACUCAGAAAAUCUCACACUGCAAUUAGUAAAUGUAUUUCAUCACCCUUAUCAUUUAAAAAAUAUUCUCAGAAGGAGAGAAACCUUAAGAGGCAAAGAUGGCUUUUCCUAUUUUUUUCUGUUCUGUUGAUACUUAAGCCAAGUCUCUACUUUUAUUAUAUUUUGCCAGUUCUUGUGAAAAUAUGCAACUACCCCACCUCCAGACCUAUUUAAUGUUUGAAUACCCACCUUACUGGCCAUCAGAAAAUUCUCUAUCUCCUUCCCUCUUUGGUAGACUUAAAAAAGCCAGAGUUCAAGAAGUGUUUGGACAAUGUUCUCAGAAAUAUGGUUUGAAUUUUGAGUGAUCCUCUGUAGAGCUAGCAAUUGAACUCAAUGAUCCUUGUGAGUCCCUUCUAACUCAGAGUAUUGCAUGAUUCUAUGAUUCUGUGAUUCUUAUUUCUCAGUAUUUUUCACUUUUCCCUGAAAAUCAAAUUAGUGCAAUUUAUUUUUAGGGUAAACUUCAUGAAACCUCUUUUGCCCUAUAAUCAAUCUAACUUAAAUUGUUGUUAUGGCUGAUUCUAGUCUUACCCUUCCUUUUUUUUUUUUUUUUUUUUUAAUAAAAAUGAGAGGACAUUUCUAAUACUACUUGUGACACAGCUGAUAGGAAAGUGUCCAUUUCAGAACAGCUUCCUGAAGUAUUAAAGAUACCGUAUCUGUAGUUAAUCUUUUUGAAUAUUGAGUCAUCUUAAUGACUUUCACAAUGCUAACAGUUUUUGUGGGUAUUUAAUUUAAUUUUCAGCUGAACUAGCUUAACGUGACAGUGAGUAGAAAACUCCCUAAUUUUCAUUUGUUAGCAGUAUCCCAAACCUACUGGACACAAGAAUAUGAGAGCAGCAAACAUUUUUCCUUUUAUGAACUCUUACACUAAAUAAAAAAAAAUCUAUUGUGGCUUCUUUUAUACGAUCUUAAACUUUAUCCAGUCCACACAUACUGAUCCAUUUUCAUCAUGUACUGUAUUGAACAACCUGUGUAUCUCUAGGUUUACUCCACCAAAACAGUCUAGAGUUUUUGCUAAAAGGUAGGAUUAGGCUGAGAUCUGCUUAAUAAGGUGCUAGCUCAUCAGUAUAUGUAACACAGUGGAAAAAAAAAAAAAAAAGAAAAAAAACAAUGAAUGGAGGCAUCACUUCACAAGCUCCCAAACAUAGUUUUACUGGUAUAACUGACAGAUGUCAGCAACUCUAGUCCUCUGGACACAAAAAAGCAGAUAAACACAUGAUGAGCAUUUCUUCUUCCUACAGCAGCUUUGUCUUACUUACACUGUGUAUUAUACAUAGGCAGGUACUGAGAAGAAAGAUCUUCUAUGGAUAUAUAGAUACAUAUAUGUAGGAUCUCCACAAGAGAAACGACUCAUUGGAUGAACCCAAGAAGAUGAACCCUCUGCUUCACCAGUCACCUACAGCACCCUCCUCUUGUCUCCAAGCUUGAGAAGAGGCUGACUGCCCAUAGAGAAAUUGUGCUGAGAAGAUAUGAUAUAUAAAAGGCAGAGCCUCUGCUGGCCCGGAAGGUUUCCCCAGCAACUGAAGAUGUGGACUUAGCUCUUGUGAUGGGUAGCACACAAACUGGUUUUUACAAUGAAAACAUAAAAAAUAAUUCUUAAGCCUUUUGGUUCAGAAGAUUUCUUUUGUUCCUAGAGCUUCAUAUAAUAAUAUCGUUUCCUAAUUGCUACUGAGAGAAUGUGCUUUGAGUUGCAAACUGAUGAGAGGAGUAAUAAUUAAGAGGGCAUACCAAGUACAUAUGCCUUAAGCAAAAGUAAUUUGCAAUACUGAAUUAAUGUAUUCUUUAUCUAUCAGUGAUAUUUGGUGCCACAUUUGCUUCUGUUAUUGUUUUGGGCAUAUUUAUUUGUUCUGAAUGAUUCUGUCUCCCCUGAGUGUGUUAUUUCCCCAAUCUCACUUUCUUUUUUCUUUCUUUUUUUCCCUGAAUAAAUUUAAAAAUAAAUA